UGGGUUUCUGUGUCUCCAGAUGUCAAUAAGAACCAUCCUACUACAAAUAUAACCUAAUUCACUCAUUGCUUUGUUGUUAGGAGGCCAUCUGUCCAGGCUUUCGACCAAUACUGUAUUUAAGUCUCCUCCCCAUAAUACUUUGACUGUGGGGAACGAUAGUAACAGCUGGUAAAUUUUGUUUUCUAUUGUUGCAAAUAUAACUGCAUUAUUUUGUUUACUUUUGGAUGCAUAUACAUUUAUGAUAAUAAACUGAUGGUAGUUACCAUCUACAAGAAGGAUUAUCUAUCUACCAUUAACGUCUGAAAAGUGAUUGAUAAUAUUGCCUUUAAACUUUCCCUGCAAAACAGCGACCCCUGCUGAUCUGUUGCCACCAAAGGAAAACCACACGUCUGGCCCACUGACUCCUCCAAAUUGACACAUCUGCUUCUGAAGCGUGAGUUUCUUGAAUAAAGUACAAAUCUGCACCUUUCUUCUGGCAAUAUAAAAAUAAGCAUUUUCUCUUCAACUGACUUCUAAGAUCCCUGGCAUUAACAGAAAGAACACAAAUUGACAUUAAGAAAUAACUAAGACCGAAAAAUUAAGACACUCAAUAUCCUCUCUUAGGGUUUGAGGAAAACUGCUACAGUUGAAACCAGAAGUUGGCAUACAUUAUAUAAAAAGGCACAUAACCUUUUUUUUUCCUCACUGUCUAACAUUAUAUCAGAUUAAACUUUUCCUGUUGUUGGUCAAUUAGGAUUACAAAAAAUAUUUUUAUAUGCUAAAUGCCAAAAUAAUGAGAGAGAGAAUUUUUUAGACAAUUUUUUAUCAUUUUCUCGAGAGUCAAAAGUUGACAUACAUUUCAUUAGUAUUUGAUAGCUGCCUUUUAAUUGUGUAACUUGGGUCAAAUGCUUUGGAUAUGCUUCCACAAGCUUCUCACAAUAGUUUGCAGGAAUUUUGGCCCAUUUCUUUUGACAGAACUGGUGUAACUGAGCCAAGUUUGUAGGCCGCCUUGCUUGCACAUGCCUGUUCAGUUCUGCCGAUAAAUUUUCAAUAGGAUUGAGAUCAGGGCUUUGUGAUGGUCACUCCAAAACAUUGACUCUGUUAUCCUUACGCCACUUUGUAACCAGUUUGGCAGUAUGCUUAGGAUCACUAUCCAUUUGGAAAACCCAUUUGCGCCCAAGUUUCAACUUCCUGGCUGAUGUCUUGAGAUGUUGCUUCAGUAUUUCCACAUAAUGUUCUUUCCUCAUGAUGCCAUCUAUUUUGUUAAGUAUACCAGUCCUUCCUGCUGCAAAACAACCCCACAACAUGAUGCUGCCAUCCCCAUAUUUCACAGUUGGGAUGGUGUUCUCAGGCUUGCAAGCUUCCCCUUUUUCCUCCAAAUGUAACAAUGGUCAUUAUGGCCAAAAAGUUCCAUUUCAGUUUCAUCAGACCACAGGACAUGUCUUCAAAAAUUAAGGUCUUUGUCCCUGUGUGCAUUUGCAAACUGUAAUCUGGCUUUUUAUGUUUCUUUUGGACUCAUGGCUUCUUCCUGGAAGAGUAGCCUUUCAGCCCAUGUCAGUACAGGACUUGUUUCACUGUUGAUAAUGACACACUCUUACCAGCUUCAGCCAGCAUCUUCACAAGUGCUUUUGCUGUUGUUCUUGGAUUGAGAAAGAUUGGAAAAGAUAUCUGACAAAAAGUAAAAGACCAGUACUUCACACAAUUGCACAAAUAAUUUAUUUGCAAGUUACAAGUUUUACUUCUGAGAUGACUUUUUUUGCUUCAGUGAGUUUUAUUCUCUCUUAAAUUCUUAUUUUUCUUUGAUGUUGAAGAAGUUUUGUUUAAUUAUUUUUGACACAAAUCUGAUUCCAUAGAUCUGCACAUAUUCAAAUUUUGUCCACAACUUAACUUUGCUCCAUACUGGUGCACAAAUAUGUUUUGCACCAAACAUGCUGCAACAAUAGGGGCAAAAUGUGAGUGUGUCAGAGUUUGAAUCUGUGACUUGCAAAAUAGGAUCUGUAAUUAAGAAUUUGUGAAUGCGUAAAUGUUGUGUUGUACUUGUGGAAAUAAAAAAAAUAAUCAACAAGUACACACAAAAAAAUCUACAAGUACACAACUCAUAGAGUGCGGAUUUCACAAACACAAUCACUGUACACAUCUACAAAUUACAUGUUAUAGAUGCACAAACUUUUUGCACCAAAAAUACCUUCAUAGUUUUGAAUAGGUUUUGUUCAGAGCCCUUUCGCUGCAGUACCGCACUUUCACCACAGCUGCAAGGGCGUCGCCAUUUCCCCAUUUUCGUGUAUACAUAUUAUAUUGGAAUAUUUUAUUAAAAUUUCAUAUUUUACUGGAAAAGAAGGAACGCUUCACGAAUUUGCGUGUCAUCCUUGCGCAGGGGCCAUGCUAAUCUUCUCUGUAUCGUUCCAAUUUUAGUAUAUGUGUUAGAGAACUAACACGAAAUUGAUCAGAAGUUCACAUUUAUUAUAUACCAAGUGAUACAGAGGCUUCCUUUCACCAUGGUUCAGCUUUCACAUGUGUUGCAGGUAUUCAAACCUUUCCAAAUACAUUCUGUGACUUAAGGUAACACUAGGCUGAGGUCUGGAUCUUCCUGUAUGGGUUUUGCACCCUAAAUCCUCAAAAUUUGUGUUCUUAUCUAGUUUUUUUCCAAAGGGAAUUUGAAUUCUUCUGAACCGCACGGGGGAAUUCUGGGUAAUCCAGGCAUGUUCUGGCUACGCCACAGCAUGUGAUUGGAAGCUUAUUGUUAUAACUGCAUUUUUGCACUUUUUGUCUUGUCUGUGAUGCUGCUGUGACAAAAAAAUUUCCCCCAUGGGGGAUCAAUAAAGGACUAUUCUAUUCUAUUCUAUUCUAUUCUAUUCUUCACAUCAAGAACCAGGGGCAUUCCUUUGAACCUCAACCAGAGGCUGGAUCUAACUCAAAACCUGUUAAAAACCCGGAUCCGGGGGCAGGGCUGAAUGUAUAGUACACAGAUUCUGAUACUGACAAGUGUUACCUUCACAGUGAACAAUAUGUAGCUACUGUUGAUGAAGUUAGGUGCUGUUCUGAGCAUUAUUUGUGGCUAUAGAGUGGUGUUUUGUUUGAGGUUUGUUUAUGGCUCCUCAGACCGCUGGGUAUUGAAAUCCUGCGGUCGUUACUAAAGUUGGUAUAACUAGAGAAGCAAGCGGUCGGCAACGUUCAUCUCUCGAGGGGGUGUCUAACUCGGUGUUACGGUGUGUUUGACCCUAAAUUAAUUUGCCCUUGAACUUUACUUGACAUAGGCCUAAUAAACGGCAAACAUGUGUGGUGUGUUUCAACUGAACCGAGUUAUCUAACGUGUUGGAAAAAAAUACUAUAAAGACCAAUUGAUAAGUUGCUUUUGUAUACCACUUAAGCCCUCUUUUACACUUUUAUCAAAGGAUGGCUCAAGUCUACAAGCUUACAACUCACGUGUUGAAACGUGAUGUGUUUUGAGCAUGCAGAUCUGCUGUUUUCACAGUUUUUGACCAUUUUUAUUUUACCUCUAAUGAUAUCCCCCCAGUCAUGGCAGCAGAAUUAAAGUGUGUCAACAUGCACCUUUUUAUUUCUUUUUUUUUUCUUUUUUUUACUACCCACGGGCCUUGAGAGAGCAAUUAGUCACAAAGAGUGUGUCUAUGUAGGUCUGUGUUUCCCAGCUGUUGAAGAAGCCCCAGCCCAAGGAGGACCAGCCUCUGCAGCUGAAAAUGCACCUGGAGAUCCUGCAACCCCAUCCUGAGUGGCAAUGCAGAGGUAAAACUAAAGUAAAGGACUUGCAGCUGCUCAAAAAACAAACAGCCUAAUACUUGAGCAAAACAAAGUGAAUUUUGCAGGUGCAUGCAAAUGAUGCUGACCAGUCUUGGUGCUAGACGUCACCAUCUACACAUGGACACACCAAUCAGGGGCUGCCUUUCCCUGUUUUCCGGGGAGCAGUGGAAACACAGUCACUGAUUGGCCUUGUUAUUUCUGAUCGGGAAUACACGCUCCCAAAGGACCGAAGUUCAGACUGUUGUGGGAAGGAACGGCAAGUGAUUCACGCAACAGGAUGGCCCAGCGAGGAGGCAGUCUCUGUCCAUUCUAUGUACAGUCUAUGUCUUUGACACUUAGUGGCAGUUUGGAGGAACAGCAGCUACAAAUGUAAGUCAACAAUAACAGUGGAAAAGGGUUUAUCUUCCUUCCUCCAUCCAAGAGUUUCAAUACAAAAUGAUAACUAGUGUAUUUCUCGAUCCUUUGAUGGCGUUUUCUUUUAAAUAACGGUGUGUUUUGCUCUUCGUGUCCAGGAGUGGAAUGCUAGAGCAGCAUUAAAGCGGCCGACCCCCCUCUGAAGAGUGGUCUGAGAGCGACACCCAGUGGCAGGUUUUUGAAACUACAACUAGGUAUGUGACCAUUGAAAGGGUUUCUCCUCCUUCUCACCAGUAGUAAAACACAAAAUUAUAGAUCAGAAUCAGAAUCAGAAUGCCUUUUAUUGUCAUUAUACACAGUACAAUAGUGGUACAUUACAGUCAGCAGACGUACGGUUCAGUUUAAAUAUUCAAAGGCAGCAAACAGACCAGAUGAACAUGCCCAUAUCUAAGCCGGAUCAGCAUGAGUCUCACAGGUAUUUCACAUGACACAGUAGCACAGAGCUGAUUGUUUAAAGGCAUAUAAAUGAGUUUCAGAUCUAGGCCCUUUUUUAAACAUCUGCUCGAAAGUGGCAUACUCAAAAUGAACUGAGCAUAUCUCAGUAAUUACCAGAUGAUCUGUAUGAUAUGGUAUCACUGUGAAGGUAACACUUGUCAGUAUCAGAAUCUGUGUACUAUACAUUCAGCCCUGCCCCCGGAUCCGGGUUUUUAACAGGUUUUGAGUUAGAUCCAGCCUCUGGUUGAGGUUCAAAGGAAUGCCCCUGGUUCUUGAUGUGAAGAAUAGAAUAGAAUAGAAUAGAAUAGUCCUUUAUUGAUCCCCCAUGGGGGAAAUUUUUUUGUCACAGCAGCAUCACAGACAAGACAAAAAGUGCAAAAAUGCAGUUAUAACAAUAAGGGUCCUAAUAUUAAGAACUUAAAUAAAUGUAAUAAUUAAGAAAAAAAUUAGAAAAGGGAGAAGAAAAAAUAAAGCUUUCUACAAUAUACACAAUUUAAAUGCCAUAAAAAAGGUGGUGGUGUAAAAUCUGUUUUGUUACUGUUCAUUGUAAAGUCUUAUUGCAGAGGGGAGGAAUGAUCUGCGGUAGCGCUCCGUCCUGCAGGGUGGGAGUCUCAGUCUGCUGCUGAAGGAGCUGCCUAAAGCCCCCACAGUCUGGUGCAGUGGGUGAGAGGGAUUGUCCAUGAUGGAUACAAUGUGUGCAUGUGUACAUGUGUGCUACUGUCUUGUGUCUAAAGCAGGAACUGAGUGACAAGGAGGUGUUGUCUACAGCGAGAGUCUCCCUGCCUCAGCUCUUCCGGUUUGAAGGAAUGACGUAGGCCAAACCAGUACACACCGGUUCUCUCUCUUCAGUUUCUCUCUCACACAGGGUCUCUCCACCGAGGUGCUUUGAAUUCUAACCAACCCCCACUGACCCCUGAGGGGUCAGAGUCCAUUGCAUAGGACACCCGAGGUAGGGGGUUGAGUCAGCCUUUUGUUCUCGCUCCUGCAGCUUCCAAUCACAUGCUGUGGCGUAGCCAGAACAUGCCUGGAUUACCCAGAAUUCCCCCGUGCGGUUCAGAAGAAUUCAAAUUCCCUUUGGAAAAAAACUAGAUAAGAACACAAAUUUUGAGGAUUUAGGGUGCAAAACCCAUACAGGAAGAUCCAGACCUCAGCCUAGUGUUACCUUAAGUCACAGAAUGUAUUUGGAAAGGUUUGAAUACCUGCAACACAUGUGAAAGCUGAACCAUGGUGAAAGGAAGCCUCUGUAUCACUUGGUAUAUAAUAAAUGUGAACUUCUGAUCAAUUUCGUGUUAGUUCUCUAACACAUAUACUAAAAUUGGAACGAUACAGAGAAGAUUAGCAUGGCCCCUGCGCAAGGAUGACACGCAAAUUCGUGAAGCGUUCCUUCUUUUCCAGUAAAAUAUGAAAUUUUAAUAAAAUAUUCCAAUAUAAUAUGUAUACACGAAAAUGGGGAAAUGGCGACGCCCUUGCAGCUGUGGUGAAAGUGCGGUACUGCAGCGAAAGGGCUCUGAACAAAACCUAUUCAAAACUAUGAAGGUAUUUUUGGUGCAAAAAGUUUGUGCAUCUAUAACAUGUAAUUUGUAGAUGUGUACAGUGAUUGUGUUUGUGAAAUCCGCACUCUAUGAGUUGUGUACUUGUAGAUUUUUUUGUGUGUACUUGUUGAUUAUUUUUUUUAUUUCCACAAGUACAACACAACAUUUACGCAUUCACAAAUUCUUAAUUACAGAUCCUAUUUUGCAAGUCACAGAUUCAAACUCUGACACACUCACAUUUUGCCCCUAUUGUUGCAGCAUAUUUGGUGCAAAACAUAUUUGUGCACCAGUAUGGAGCAAAGUUAAGUUGUGGACAAAAUUUGAAUAUGUGCAGAUCUAUGGAAUCAGAUUUGUGUCAAAAAUAAUUAAACAAAACUUCUUCAACAUCAAAGAAAAAUAAGAAUUUAAGAGAGAAUAAAACUCACUGAAGCAAAAAAAGUCAUCUCAGAAGUAAAACUUGUAACUUGCAAAUAAAUUAUUUGUGCAAUUGUGUGAAGUACUGGUCUUUUACUUUUUGUCAGAUAUCUUUUCCAAUCUUUCUCAAUCCAAGAACAACAGCAAAAGCACUUGUGAAGAUGCUGGCUGAAGCUGGUAAGAGUGUGUC